GUUCUGCUGUCAAGUUCGACAUCUGUGCGGCAUCAGCUGGCUUGUAACCAUAGCUUCUAGACGCCAAAAGUAACGAUGGAGUAUGGAAAGUUAAGCGAUAUACCCGAUGACUUUAGUUUAUCUUAUCUUGAAUCUAGUAUAUCCUUAAAGAAAAAAACAAAAGGCGUACGGAUUCAUAUCUGGGUCAUAUAUACAUAGCGUUAAAAUUUACAAAAACAGUACAGGCACAAUCAGCGUUCGGGGAGAAGUUUAUCCCAGCCAACGGAAAUCUGACGCUCGUCAUAUUGUCAAUUUCGAGAUCGAUUUUAAAGAGAGGAGACUGGUGGAUUCGCACUGCAAGUGUCAACAAGGUGGUGAUGGCAGUUGCUCUCAUGUCAUUGCCGUGAUGCAUCUACUUGAAACGUGGAAGAUAAGUGGCAUAAAAGAUGUCCCUACCUUACUGUCUUCGACAAGUAUGCCCCAGCAAUGGGACAAGCCACGUGGAGAAAAAAUAUUACCAGAACCCGUCUCACAAAUGGUUAUUUCAAAACCUUUUAAUCUUCAAAGGAAAAGGCGCCCCGUUAUGGCCAAGUUUGUAGACAACAGAAAAAUUACUGUUGAGAGUGAAGACAUAAAUGUAUUGAAAAGACUAAAGACUAGCUCGAUAUCUUAUCUGGUGGAAGACAACACAGCCACUACAAAGUUAGUUGUGACACCAUUUGGACCAGCACCUGUUGGUUCACCUUCAUCUUACCAUGGACCACUUAUUGAAGCAAUACAUCAGCCUUUAGAUGCAGAGACCUGUGGGAAUUUUGAUUAUCCAACAGAGGAACACAUUGACAGCAUCAUGAAGGAGGAGCUGAGUAAAUACAGCAAUGACUGGACCGCCAUAACUAAGGCUGAGGCCAAUCAACUGGAAAGCAACACUAGAUUACAAAAUGAAUGUAAUAUUUGGCACAAAGAAAGACAAAAACGAAUAACAGCAUCUAAUUUUGGAGCAAUUAUGAACAGGAAAAAAGACUAAUGAAAGUUUUCUGCGAAACACCUUCAAAAACUCAAAUUUCAAAUCAAAACCUACAUCAUACGGCCAGGUCAACGAAAAGGUAGCAAAAACAAUCUACAUGAAAAAGAGAGGAUGCCACUUGCAUUCAAUUGGAUUGGUUGUGAAUCCACUCUGCCCAUUCCUAGGAGCAUCUCCAGAUGGAGUUGUAUGCAAGGAUGGGCAGAGUGGACUCAUUGAAAUUAAAUGCCCCUAUGCUGCUAGAGAUUUCACCGUCAGAGAAGCAAUAGAAAAGGUUAAACUUUUCUGUUUGGAAAUUGAUGAGGGUGAAGACCAGAUUUCACUAAAGAGGUCACACAAUUAUUUUUACCAAGUGCAAGGACAGAUUAUGAUAACCGGUGCCCCCUACUGUGACUUCAUAAUUUACACCAGGAAUGAUUUCUUUGUUGAGCGCAUAUAUCCAGACAGAGAGACUAUGCUACAUCUAAUUACAAACUUAGGAAAGUUCUAUGUGGAGCAUUUCAAGGCCUUCUGCUGUAGAGAGUAGACAAAACAAGAUGGCAUACCAUCAU